GAGCAAUGUGAUAAGCACAAAGCUAACUAUUCUUUUACUAAAGAAUAUCGUGUGCUUGUCACUUAACGUGACAUACGCUUAUUUUUGGAGGAGCUCCUCUUGGUGAGGGGCU
rnacentral:snRNA from 1 species